GUCCAGCUGACGAGUCCAAAAUAGGACGAAACGCUCGUCCUGGAU
rfam:Schistosoma mansoni strain Puerto Rico chromosome 1, complete genome